CCUACGGGGGGCAGCAGUGGGGAAUAUUGGGCAAUGGGCGCAAGCCUGACCCAGCAACGCCGCGUGAGGGAAGAAGGCUUUCGGGUUGUAAACUUCUUUUCUCAGGGACGAAGAAAGUGACGGUACCUGAGGAAUAAGCCACGGCUAACUACGUGCCAGCAGCCGCGGUAAUACGUAGGUGGCAAGCGUUAUUCGGAGUUAUUGGGUGUAAAGGGCGUGUAGGCGGGAGCGCAAGUGAGAUGUGAAAACUCAGGGCUCAACCCUGAGCCUGCAUUUGAAACUGUGUUUCGUGAGUGCUGGAGAGGCAAUCGGAAUUCCGUGUGGAGCGGUGGAGUGCGUAGAUGUACGGAGGAACACCAGUGACGAAGGCGGAUUGCUGGACAGUA
rnacentral:rRNA from 1 species